GGAGAUCGGCCAAUUGGAAGGCUGGAGCGAUUGGGCCAAUAUGGGCUUAAAGUGGAUCAGAGAAAGAAGAUAGAGAAAGAUUGGCCUGUGGGAAUACAAUAACCAACUCCGAUACGAGUUGUGCUUGUAAAUAUUCAUUUUCGUUUAAAAUUAGAGAUAGAUCCUAGUCAGCUAGGAAAUUGGUUGUAACAGGCUAUAAAUAGCCAUCUUUAGAGAUUUGUAAAGAAUACAUCAAUCAAUACAAACAAAUCUACUUUUUCAUCGUACUUUACUUUCAAGUCGGC
rnacentral:lncRNA from 1 species